UGGAUAGCUCACAAUCAGCUAUCAAACGGCUGUCGCAAGAUAAUUUUGUAUAUUGGACAUAUUCGUCGAUAUUUUGAAGAAUUUUGCUUAGACAUUAUUAAAUACCGACAAUUUCACGCCCUGAAACAUCGUUAAUCGCUUCUUCCUCAUUUAGUGGGAGACGUCUAUUAUAAGAAAAUGUCUGGAAACUUCUAGAAAACGUCGCAUUAAAAGUUUUGUAGACUUCGACAAGGUUUUCCAUCAGAAACAACGUUCGCGAUCUUCAUAUUUGUACUUGAUUAAUGCAUUUUACAUUUUUGUACAUACAUGGAAGCGUUUAUAUCUAUUGUACAUAGAUUCUUCAUUUGAAUUACGCUUACACGUAUUAAAUGAAAACAGUUUCUAAA